GGUUCAAGGUUCCUUCACAACAACUCAGACUCCAAUGUUCACUCCUCAUUUCUUUCAAAAGAUUUACUACUCUGAAUCCUGCUACUUUGUUACCAAUUACAGAUUUAGAAAUGGGGGAGGGUAGCACAGGUAGCCUUUUGUCUGAUUUAGCUGAAAAUGCUCCUCAUGAAUGUAUACAGUUGAUGCAACAAGAAACUUCUGGAUUUCCUCAUGA